CCUACGGGAGGCAGCAGUAGGGAAUAUUGGUCAAUGGGCGAGAGCCUGAACCAGCCAUGCCGCGUGCAGGAAGAAGGCCCUCUGGGUUGUAAACUGCUUUUGACAGGGGCCAAAAUACUCAUGCGUGAGGAAUUGAGAGUACCUGUAGAAUAAGCACCGGCUAACUCCGUGCCAGCAGCCGCGGUAAUACGGAGGGUGCAAGCGUUGUCCGGAUUUAUUGGGUUUAAAGGGUGCGUAGGUGGCCUUAUAAGUCAGUGGUGAAAGCCUGCAGCUUAACUGUAGGACUGCCAUUGAUACUGUAGGGCUUGAGUACUGAUGAGGUAGGCGGAAUUGAUAGUGUAGCGGUGAAAUGCAUAGAUAUUAUCAAGAACACCGAUUGCGAAGGCAGCUUACUAAGGAGUUACUGACACUGAGGCACGAAAGCGUGGGGAUCAAACAGGAUUAGAUACCCUGGUAGUCCACGCCAUAAACGAUGAUUACUCGAUGUAUGCGAUAGAUAGUAUGCGUCCAAGCGAAAGCGUUAAGUAAUCCACCUGGGAGUACGGCCGCGAAGGUUGAAACGUUAAAGGAAUUGACGGCUUAGGAGAGNGCGACGGACGACGACGAGGGAGGAGG
rnacentral:rRNA from 1 species